GCCAGCAUGGUGUAGUGGUUUGAGUGUUGGACUAGGACUCUGGAGACCAGGUUCUAAUCCCCUGUUGGCC